ACGGGAGGCAGCAGUAGGGAAUAUUGCACAAUGGGGGGAACCCUGAUGCAGCAACGCCACGUGUGGGAAGAAGCAUUUCGGUGUGUAAACCACUGUCGUGAGGGAAUAAUGCUUGGCUCCGGCCAAGUUGAAUGUACCUCGAAAGGAAGCACCGGCAAACUUCGUGCCAGCAGCCGCGGUAAUACGAGGGGUGCAAGCGUUGUUCGGAAUCACUGGGCGUAAAGGGAGCGCAGGCGGGGAUGCAAGCAGUCUGUACAAUACCGGGGCCCAACCCCGGACCUGCAGACUGGACUGUUUCCCUUGGAUAGCUCAGGGGCUGGCGGAAUUCCUGGUGUAGCGGUGGAAUGCGUAGAGAUCAGGAAGAACACCGAUGGCGAAGGCAGCCAGCUGGGGGCUUAUCGACGCUCAUGCUCGAAAGUGCGGGUAGCAAACAGGAUUAGAUACCCUGAUA
rnacentral:rRNA from 1 species